rnacentral:lncRNA from 1 species
UCAUUUUUAUUGUGUUUUAUGUUUUCUUAAAGGGUAUUUUGAUGAACUUACUGCUUUCCAGAGCAGUGCUUUUCCCAGCAACCACCAGUUCUGGAGUCAUGGCCUUUGAAUAAUUCUCCCAUUCCUGCAACAGCCACUCCUGAAGUUGCUCUAGGAGGGGACAGAUCAAGAGAAUUAGAUGUGCUUCCUAACAAGUGCUCCAGUAGUAAAAGCCAGAAGAUAGCCAGCCUGAACAGACGAGUAGAAUGA